rnacentral:rRNA from 1 species
UGGGGAAUAUUGGACAAUGGGCGCAAGCCUGAUCCAGCCAUACCGCGUGGGUGAAGAAGGCCUUCGGGUUGUAAAGCCCUUUUGUUGGGAAAGAAAUCCAGCUGGUUAAUACCCGGUUGGGAUGACGGUACCCAAAGAAUAAGCACCGGCUAACUUCGUGCCAGCAGCCGCGGUAAUACGAAGGGUGCAAGUGUUACUCGGAAUUACUGGGCGUAAAGCGUGCGUAGGUGGUCGUUUAAGUCCGUUGUGAAAGCCCUGGGCUCAACCUGGGAACUGCAGUGGAUACUGGGCGACUAGAGUGUGGUAGAGGGUAGCGGAAUUCCUGGUGUAGCAGUGAAAUGCGUAGAGAUCAGGAGGAACAUCCAUGGCGAAGGCAGCUACCUGGACCAACACUGACACUGAGGCACGAAAGCGUGGGGAGCAAACAGGAUUAGAUACCCUGGUAGUCCACGCCCUAAACGAUGCGAACUGGAUGUUGGGUGCAAUUUGGCACGCAGUAUCGAAGCUAACGCGUUAAGUUCGCCGCCUGGGGAGUACGGUCGCAAGACUG